AUGAUCCAGCUGGCUUUGCCUGACCCACCUGAAGCCUUACUAAAUUCUGGAGACCUAUCCAAUAUAAAAAACAUUGGGGAAACUUGUAUUUUUCUAAUUUGUGAGACACUUAUUAUGACACUGUUAUAUGUUGUGAUGGUUCUGAUGGUCCGUAUCUCCUUCUUCUCUCCAGGUCCAGAGGAGUCCAGUGUUCACGGUGAUGGGAUCAACAUCCACUCUGAUGUCCACAUCUCUGUAGCCCCCAGGCUAUUCUGGGGGGCUCUGCUAGAGCACAGGGACUCUACAACACCAUAG
rnacentral:lncRNA from 1 species